rnacentral:pre_miRNA from 1 species
AAAUUUUCCUUACCGUGUAGCUUAGACUCGGAAGAACUAUUUUGAGUUACAUGGUCAGGGGAUUU